UAGCUAAAGCAAAACAAAAAACACUUCACACAAGUAAGAGGAUCUAGUGUAGCCCAAAGAAUCACAGGCCUGCCAGCCUCUGGACUGAGGCAGAGGAACCAACAGGAACCACCCACUUCAUGUUGAGAUGAACAUUGGUCUCUGCAAUGAUAAUGGAAUGCCUGCAUCUCCCAUUCAGAAGGAACCUAACAUCAUGUGGCUCAGGCUAUGUCUCUAAGAAAGAAAUGACCCUCGAAUAUAGCCAGGUGCAGUGGUGCACAUCUACAAUCCCAGUCACUUGGGAGGCUCAGGCAGCCACCAUCAAAUGGCAUUGCAAAUGAGAAGAGAUCAGACCAGCAAUGGCAGUGGUGAGCAUGAGUUGGCCUGGGGCUGGUUCUGAUUAAAUAAGUAAUGCUUAUUGAUUGCUUAUGUACUCGAAUCCAUCCCGAGUGCUUCACAUAGAUGGGCGGGGGCAAGGAAAUCCAUCAUUACGCUCCAUGAUUACAUGGGGAAACUGAGGAACAGAAGGGGUAAGUAACUCACCUAACAUGCAGCCAGGAGCCUGUCCAGAAUUUGCACUCAAGUUACUUGGUGCUAUCGGCCUCUCAGUGAUGCAAUGGAAGAUGAUGAUGGUGUCCACCUGUUUAAUAUUUAUCGUGCUGCAGCUUGAUACUCUACUCAUAAUGGAUGACACAGAGUGUUGUUCUGGGUUCUGGAGUUUCAGCUGUAUGUGAGCAAGACCAAUAAAGUCCUACUCUCAAAGGGCUAAUGUUCAAGUGUAGAAAUAGAUAAGAAUAAACAAAGAAAUAAAAAAUGAUUUCAGAGAAUGACAAGUGCUAGGAAAAAAAGUAAAAUGGGAGGAUGUGAUGAAGAAUGAGGAGGAAAGGAGGUCAGUGAAUGAAUGACUGCAUGGAGGAGCCGUUGUGGUGAGGAGGGUGGUGGGAACCUGAGCACCUGCCAUUCAAAAUGUUUGCACCUUGAGGACCCUUCCCUCGGCUCCACAGAUGCUGUGAGGCCAGCCACAUUGAAUUUCUCCAGGCAGUUUUUAUUUCUAGAAACAGAGGAGCCACGGCAAAGUUGUGACAUCCUAGAAUUUAAUGUUUGUAGCCUGGUGCAGUGGCAUACACAUGUAAUCAGCAGCUGGGGAGGCUGA